AGCAGCCGCCGCGGGAAUACAGAGGGUGCGAGCGUUAAUCGGAUUUACUGGGCGUAAAGCGUGCGUAGGCGGCUUCUUAAGUCGGAUGUGAAAUCCCUGAGCUUAACUUAGGAAUUGCAUUCGAUACUGGGAAGCUAGAGUAUGGGAGAGGAUGGUAGAAUUCCAGGUGUAGCGGUGAAAUGCGUAGAGAUCUGGAGGAAUACCGAUGGCGAAGGCAGCCAUCUGGCCUAAUACUGACGCUGAGGUACGAAAGCAUGGGGAGCAAACAGGAUUAGAGACCCCAGUAGUCCCUGUCUCUUAUAC
rnacentral:rRNA from 1 species